rnacentral:tRNA from 1 species
GGGUCCUUAGCUCAACUGGUAGAGCACCCGUCUCCAAAGCGGGUGGUUGGGGGUUCGAGUCCCUCAGGGCCUG